UACGUAGGGUGCGAGCGUUAAUCGGAAUUACUGGGCGUAAAGCGUGCGCAGGCGGUUCGUUAAGUCAGCUGUGAAAGCCCCGGGCUCAACCUGGGAAUUGCGGUUGAAACUGGCGGACUAGAAUCUGGCAGAGGGGGGUGGAAUUCCACGUGUAGCAGUGAAAUGCGUAGAGAUGUGGAGGAACACCGAUGGCGAAGGCAGCCCCCUGGGCUGAGAUUGACGCUCAGGCACGAAAGCGUGGGGGAGCAAACAGG
rnacentral:rRNA from 1 species